rnacentral:rRNA from 1 species
UGGGGAAUAUUGGACAAUGGGCGCAAGCCUGACCCAGCCAUGCCGCGUGAGUGAUGAAGGCCUUAGGGUUGUAAAGCUCUUUCACCGAUGAAGAUAAUGACGGUAGUCGGAGAAGAAGCCCCGGCUAACUUCGUGCCAGCAGCCGCGGUAAUACGAAGGGGGCUAGCGUUGUUCGGAAUUACUGGGCGUAAAGCGCAUGUAGGCGGAUAUUUAAGUCAGGGGUGAAAUCCCAGAGCUCAACUCUGGAACUGCCUUUGAUACUGGAUAUCUUGAGUAUGGAAGAGGUAAGUGGAAUUCCGAGUGUAGAGGUGAAAUUCGUAGAUAUUCGGAGGAACACCAGUGGCGAAGGCGGCUUACUGGUCCAUUACUGACGCUGAGGUGCGAAAGCGUGGGGAGCAAACA